rnacentral:rRNA from 1 species
AACGAACGCUGGCGGCAUGCCUAACACAUGCAAGUCGAACGAGACCUUCGGGUCUAGUGGCGCACGGGUGCGUAACGAGUGGGAACCUGCCCUUAGGUUCGGAAUAACUCCCUGAAAGGGGUGCUAAUACCGGAUAAUGUCUUCGGGCCAAAGAUUUAUCGCCUUUGGGUGGGCGCUCGUUGGAUUCGCGAGUUGGUAGGGUAAAAGCCUACCAUGGCGAGGAUCCAUAGCUGGUCUGAGAAGAUGAUUCACCGCGCUUGGGCUGAGACACGGCCCAGACUCCGACGGAGGGCAGCGGUGGGUAGUAUUGUACAAUGAACGAAGGCCUGGUCCAGCAAUGCCGCGUGUGUGAUGAAGGCCUUAGGGUUGUAAAGCUCUUUUACCCGAGAUGAGAAUGACAGUACCGGGAGAAUAAGCUCCGGCUAACUCCGUG